GCCACGGUGGUCUAGCGGUUAGAACGCUGGUCUUGUAAUCCUGGGGUCUCGUGUUCGAUUCCCGGCGGUGCCC
rfam:Zootermopsis nevadensis contig32650, whole genome shotgun sequence.